rnacentral:rRNA from 1 species
GACGAACGCUGGCGGCGUGCCUAAUACAUGCAAGUCGAGCGGACAGAUGGGAGCUUGCUCCCUGAAGUCAGCGGCGGACGGGUGAGUAACACGUGGGCAACCUGCCUGUAAGACUGGGAUAACUUCGGGAAACCGGAGCUAAUACCGGAUACGUUCUUUUCUCGCAUGAGAGAAGAUGGAAAGAUGGUUUCGGCUAUCACUUACAGAUGGGCCCGCGGCCCAUUAGCUAGUUGGUGAGGAAAUGGCUCACCAAGGCGACGAUGCGUAGCCGCCCUGAGAGGGUGAUCGGCCACACUGGGACUGAGACACGGCCCAGACUCCUACGGGAGGCAGCAGUAGGGAAUCUUCCGCAAUGGACGAAAGUCUGACGGAGCAACGCCGCGUGAACGAUGAAGGCCUUCGGGUCGUAAAGUUCUGUUGUUAGGGAAGAACAAGUACCAGAGUAACUGCUGGUACCUUGACGGUACCUAACCAGAAAGCCACGGCUAACUACGUGCCAGCAGCAGCCGCGGUAA